AAUAAGUUCUUUUGUGGGUUUCUUUAUGUGUAACAUUUGACCGUCUGUCUUAUUUAUUUAAAUUUUUUUAUGAUUAGUAUUUUGAUUGUUAUUAGAUGUGAAAAUAUGAAUAGUGCUUUAUGCAUGACUUGUUUUUAUUAAUUUUUUCAUAAAAUUUUCAAAUAAGACGGACGGUCAAACGUUGAACACAAAAAACCACCAAUGAACUUAUU
rfam:Oryza glumipatula chromosome 12, whole genome shotgun sequence.